AAUCAACGCUGGCGGCGUGCCUCAGACAUGCAAGUCGAACGAUUAAAGCCCUCUUCGGAGGGUGCAUAAAGUGGCGCACGGGUGAGUAACACGUAAGUAAUCUACCUUCGAGUGGGGAAUAACGUUCGGAAACGAACGCUAAUACCGCAUAAUGCAGCGGCAACGCAAGAUGACAGUUGUUAAAGAUUUAUCGCUUGAAGAGGAGCUUGCGGCAGAUUAGAGAGUUGGUAAGGUAACGGCUUACCAAGGCGACGAUCUGUAUCCGGUCUAAGAGGACGGGCGGACACACUGACACUGAAUAACGGUUCAGACUCCUACGGGAGGCAGCAGUCGGGAAUUUUGGGCAAUGGGCGAAAGCCUGACCCAGCAACGCCGCGUGAAGGAUGAAUUUUUUCGGAAUUUAAACUUCGUUAGAAUAGGAAGAAUAAAUGACGGUACUAUUUGUAAGGUCCGGCUAACUACGUGCCAGCCGCCGCGGUAAGAC
rnacentral:rRNA from 1 species